rnacentral:rRNA from 1 species
AACGAACGCUGGCGGCAUGCCUAACACAUGCAAGUCGAACGAGACCUUCGGGUCUAGUGGCGCACGGGUGCGUAACGCGUGGGAACCUGCCUUUAGGUUCGGAAUAACUCAGAGAAAUUUGAGCUAAUACCGGAUAAUGUCUUCGGACCAAAGAUUUAUCGCCUUUAGAUGGGCCCGCGUAAGAUUAGCUAGUUGGUGGGGUAAAGGCCUACCAAGGCGACGAUCUUUAGCUGGUCUGAGAGGAAUGAUCAGCCACACUGGGACUGAGACACGGCCCAGACUCCUACGGGAGGCAGCAGUGGGGAAUAUUGGACAAUGGGCGAAAGCCUGAUCCAGCAAUGCCGCGUGAGUGAUGAAGGCCUUAGGGUUGUAAAAGGACUCUUUUUACCCGAAAUAGAUAAUAGACAGUAUCGGGAGAAUAAGACUCCGGCUAACUCCGUGCCAGCAGCCGCGGUAAU